UACAGAGGGGGCAAGCGUUGUUCGGAAUUACUGGGCGUAAAGGGCGCGUAGGCGGCCUUCUAAGUCGAACGUGAAAUCCCCGGGCUCAACCCGGGAACUGCGUCCGAUACUGGAAGGCUUGAAUCCGGGAGAGGGAUGCGGGAAUUCCAGGUGUAGCGGUGAAAUGCGUAGAUAUCGAGAGGAACACCUGCGGCGAAGGCGGGUUGCUGGCUGACACUGACGCUGAGCGCGAAGCUAGGGAGCGAACG
rnacentral:rRNA from 1 species